rnacentral:tRNA from 1 species
GGGGAUAUGGCGAAAUCGGUAGACGC